AUCCCCAGCCCCAUUUCAAGCUGUCAUCAUGAACAGUAGUGGAGGAGUGGAUUUGCCAAACAGCUGUCAGAGCUGACACCAGGGAGUGUCAGCAGUGGGGCUGGAGCUACCCUUGGUGGAGCGACUUUCCUCUUGCUCAAUUCCUGGGUUCCCUCCUACUGUUCUGAACCAAUGACGCAGAUGGCAAGUGAAACAGAUCAGCAAAGAGGCCCAAAGAAGCAAAGAAACUUGCCCAGGAUCACACAAAUCAGCAAGAGGAGCUGGGAUUUGCACACAUUUUCUUAGGGCCAUGAAAGAGCCAACCUAGAGGUCAAGCUAGCAUGCUGAGUGUGACAGUGAAGAAUGGUGGAAAGAAUAUGACUUGGUGAUGCUGGUUUGAACACCGAAUUAGUCCCCUUGGGAACACUCCAUCAUACAUCCCAUGUCAGCCUGUUUUACAGCCUCCUGCCCUACAGCCUGUUUUUCCCCAAACUCCAUGUGGAAUGCGGUCACCUUGUUAGUUGGAACCAGCUCCUGACAGACCCUGGCAAUUUAUAGAUGAGCCCAAGUGAACAUUCUUCAUGACCAUGCUGAAGUUUCCACUCCAGGAGGAGCCACAGCUUCACUACCAUAACAUACAACCUAUGUGGUGGCAGAAUGACUCACUGCCUCUGCAUCACUGGGACCCCUUCUCUACGUGCAACGAUGUGCCCUCUCUCCUAUCCAUCACUCCAUUAAACCCUCCUGCCAUUUUCCCUCAGGGAAACGCUGCUUUGGAAAAUAC